rnacentral:rRNA from 1 species
UACGUAGGGCGCGAGCGUUGUCCGGAAUUAUUGGGCGUAAAGGGCUCGUAGGCGGCUUGUCGCGUCUGCUGUGAAAACGCGGGGCUCAACUCCGCGCGUGCAGUGGGUACGGGCAGGCUGGAGUGCGGCAGGGGUGGCUGGAAUUCCUGGUGUAGCGGUGGAAUGCGCAGAUAUCAGGAAGAACACCGAUGGCGAAGGCAGGCCACUGGGCCGUCACUGACGCUGAGGAGCGAAAGCGUGGGGAGCGAACAGGAUUAGAUACCCUGGUAGUCCACGCUGUAAACGUUGGGAACUAGGUGUGGGGUCUGUUCCACGGAUUCUGCGCCGGAGCUAACGCGUUAAGUUCCCCGCCUGGGGAGUACGGCCGCAAGGCUAAAACUCAAAGGAAUUGACGGGGGCCCGCACAAGCGGCGGAGCAUGCGGAUUAAUUCGAUGCAACGCGAAGAACCUUACCAAGGCUUGACAUGUGCCGGGAGGGCGCGGAGACGCGUCUGCCUUCGGGCCGGUUCACAGGUGGUGCAUGGUUGUCGUCAGCUCGUGUCGUGAGAUGUUGGGUUAAGUCCCGCAACGAGCGCAACCCUUGUCCCGUGUUGCCAGCGCGUUGUGGCGGGGACUCACGGGGGACUGCCGGGGUCAACUCGGAGGAAGGUGGGGACGACGUCAAAUCAUCAUGCCCCUUAUGCCUUGGGCUUCACGCAUGCUACAAUGGCCGGUACAGAGGGUGGCGAGGCCGUGAGGCGGAGCGAAUCUCGUAAAGCCGGUCUCAGUUCGGAUCGGGGUCUGCAACUCGGGCCCGUGAAGUCGGAGUCGCUAGUAAUCGCAGAUCAGCAACGCUGCGGUGAAUACGUUCUCGGGCCUUGUACACACCGCCCGUCACGUCACGAAAGUCGGCGACGCCCGAAGCCCGUGGCUCUGCUUGUGCGGGGAGCGGUCGAAGGCGGGGUUGGCGAUUGGGACGAAGUCGUAACAAGGUAGCCGUACCGGAAGGUGUGGCUGGAUCACCUCCUU